GAGCUGUGGGGCGCCUUCCCCUACCCUUUGCCAGCAGAAGGCCCCACUGAGGUUGGCAUCCUUCCAGAGGCCACAACCCAGGAAUCAAAUUCGAAUCGGGAAUCCAUAGUCUGUCCCCCACCCUCUCUCCUGCCGAGGCACCACGUGGGCUAGGGUUGGCGGGCAAAGGGGGAGUAAUCCAAAUCCGGGUGAGGGCGCCCGCUCCACCUCAGGAGUCAUUCUCUGCCAAGCUGGUGCUUCAGUGUCUUGACUUAGGAAAUCCCAUUGUUUUGGAACUUUAGGAUGGUUUUCAAGUGUGGGACAGAGGCUCCAGGAGGUGGAUUCUGGUUAUGCUGCCCUGUCCACCCCAGUUCCAGGCCUGGGUAGGGCUCCCUUCAGGCACCCAGGCCCUUAGGAAUAGCAGUUCCCUGAGGGCAUACUCCUAUAGUUUGGGUGCCAUUCAUGUUUUCUAGUGCGCAGCAAGUCCGGAAAGCCUGCAGGUGGCUAGUUAACCCCACUAGGACGCUGAGGAUUUGAUCAAGAACAAAAUCAGUAUCAAGGUGCAAUAGGACAGUUUCCUGGCUUAGGAUCCUUUCUCCAAGUGCAGGGCCUUGCUCCCUUGUGGGGUGGUGACAAGGUACUGGGCAGUCCUCCAGCCAGGAGGUGCUGCUUGCCCAGGCCAGUCACCUUUAGGCUGAAUGCCUCACUGCCCCACAGCAGGAGAUCCUCCAUGGACCUGCGCAGCAACUCCAAGUUGAGGCCCAGCCCUGAGCACUGGGGACUUAACGUGCCUGGAGUUGGCGUCCCUUGAUCAGAGCCGGCACCUGUGUCUUGGCUAAAGUGAAGAGCCAGCUCUGCCCUUCCUGCACUGCCCACCCUGUGGGAGAAGCCCAGUUCAUUGCAGCUGCCUGCAGAGAGAGGCUCUUCCAGCCCCAUGAACCCCGUUCCUGGGGGCCUAACCUCUGGACCCCUGGCCCUGCACCUGAGACCCCUUGUUCUGCCUCAGCCCCUGAGAUAGACAAGAACAUCCUAGAUAGAGGUGGUUUUUUAAAUUCCACAGAAUUGAAGUGAACCGUUUUUGGAAGGUGAAGGACUCUGGGGAAGAGGGUAACCGCCUGAGCCCAGCCCCUGGAGCGCUUUCCUUCUGAUGCUGGGAGUGAGGAACAGGCCUGCCUCUGAGCCAUAGGCAGUAAUAAGGCCCACCUUGUUCCUGUACAUGUGCUGGAGCCUGGGGUGGCCACAGGCUCCUUCCUUGGGCCCACUGCCAGUCACCUAGCCUGUGUGGCACACUGUGGCAUCAGUGUGAACUCCUGUUACGCAGGGGCAGGAAGCUUCAGGAGCCCAGCCCAGGCUUGUAGCAGAGGACAGAUCACACCUACCCUUGGAUUAUGGCACCUUCUGAACAGCCCAGGCCCCAGGCUGCUUAGCCCAGUCUGUCAGCUCCAUCCGCUGACAUCUACCCCAACCCCUCCGUCUCUGGGGUGGUCCAGCAGUCUGGCUCCGGGGGUACUCUCAGCCCCCAGUCAGCUCCCUGGGCAGUGAGGAUUUACUUCUAGAACAGUGGGGACAGUUGUGACCUUAGAAGAAUCAGCUCCAGGGAGUCUGGAGGAUGUGGCCCGUCUUUGGGGUGCUCCUAUUCCACGAAGGUCUUCUUCCAACUCUCCUCAGUCUCAUUCUGUCCUCAGUGAGGGGACUGGAGCCUCAGGUCCAUCUCUGUGCUGGGGGAGGGGGUAGCAUAGCCCAAGCUGGCCCUAUUCAGCCUGGCUUGCAGGCUAGGCCUCCCUCUUGGGUGUGAGCACCUGCUACGUAACAGGCUCCUGCCUGGGCCCUGGCCUUUGUCACAUCCCCUUGGCUCCCACAUUCCACCCCCCCCCCCCCAGUUCCCAGCAUAGAGCCUCUUCCCCUGGCUCCAGGCUGCACGCUGUCCCACUUUUACUUAGCCUCUUGGGGCCUAUACUGUACGUGGUCAUGAGAGCAGAGAUGAGGGUCUCCAUGAGUGUCUCAUCCAACUCUCAUUUCACAGGUGAGGACAUUGUCCUGGUUCCCUGGAUGUGCCCAUGCUGUGCCAGCCACCUUCCAGGGUCUGACUUCACAUUUCCCCUCCCUGUUGCCCCCAGCUAGGGCAUUCACUUGUGUCCUCAUAGGAGCAGGAGGUGGGCAAGGCAGGCUGGGCAUCUGCCGUGUUGGGGAGGAUGGAAGGGCUUGGGAGAGUGAAGCAUGGCUCGCUGCUUCUGCAAAUUGGGCAGUUCCAGAGUCUCUGUGGCCAGCUGGGGCAUCGGAAAAGCAGUGGCUCCUUGGAAUCCAAGGGAAAGGGGGGCAUCUGUGAGUCAGCCCCCCCCCCAUUCUUGGCCCUGCAAGCCCAGGAGGGCAGUUAUUGCACCCCACUCUCCAGCCAUAUACUGUCCCCCAUCCCAGUCACCUCCCAGCCAGCUCCAUUUCCUCCAAAGCAUGGGCUCCACUGCCCGCCAAGCUGCCAGUCCCUCUUCAAACUCCAGUGGCUGCCCCAAGACCCAUAGAGGUGCAGUCAAUCCUUCAAGACAGCUGUAGAAACUCAUUUUUAAAAAGCAUCUCCAACGGAGGUGUGGGUUGGAGAGGGUAGGGGCCCAGACCACCACCUGCUCUCCACUCGCUCCAGUGGCACCAUAUUAUUUGGCAGCCAAGACUGGGCUGUCUGCCCUGGUUUGCAGCCUUGCACCUCCCUUGCCGGUGCUGUUCCUUCUGCAUCGAAUGCCUGUCUCCACCUGCCCACUGCCAGCGCCACACCUCACCCUCCUAGGACACCUUCCUUGAGACCAUCUGGCUUGGCAUCAGGGCUCCUCUGCUUUGGCCUAGGCCCAUGAGCCCCUCUUCCUGUGUCCUGUGUCCCCCAGCAGCCUCUAGGUGGGUGCAUCAGCUCUGCUCUUUGGGUCAGCAGCUUGUCCUUCCUGAGCCCAGCAGUGUGGGGUCUACCCUGGGCCUCCCACCUUGUCCCCUCCAGGCAUGCCUUCAUUAGAGGGAUAGCACUGCCCUUUCCCCCAGUGUGAGACUCCCCUGCCUGGGGCUUGCUACCCUUGAGAGCCUGAUCUGAGGGACCCAGGAGCCAGGGACCUGCUCUGCUCUCCUUCUGGCCUCGGGUUUUCCCUUCUGUGAAAUGGAGUCACCAAAUGUCUUUCCUACAUAUUCCCUAAACCACAGAGCUGACUGGAUGUCUCAGUCUCAGGGGCACGAGUUAUGCAGGGGAGCUGAUGGACAAGUAGUGGCCUGUGCCUGCACUCAGGUCUCCAUAAAUCUUGAAACUCCUGGUGGGUGGGCAGGGGUCUUCUGGAGCCCCACCCAGAGCUGAGAGGUAUUGGAGAGGAUGCGGGUAGGGAAGGGACCCACCAAUCUCGGGCACUGGUAGGUCAGGCCACGGGGCCUACUGCCUCCAAAGCAGUAGGUGAAAACGGUGCAGGGGAGGUCAGCUGAGCCUGAGGCUCGGGAUGCGUCCAGUGUUUCUGGAUCGUUGAUGUCUUCCUUGCCUUCCUGCCCCACUUUGCACUAAGUGCUGCUCCCUUGUUUCCGUAAAGUUCUUGGCUGCCAUUCAGCCCCAUUUCCUAGCUGAGCAAAGCUGGAUCCCAGCCCUCUGGCCCUCCUGGGGAGAAUUCCACUACGGGCUUGGAUGGGGGCACAAAGCACACCCACCAGCCAUUUGCCCAGGUUCCCUCUCCUGGUGAAGUGAGCACACCUCACUUCUGUUUGAAGCCCACAUAAAAGAGAAAAUUUUUGUCAUUUUUCAGAAAUUGGCUUGUCCCUCCUGGAGUCUCAGCCCCCAUCUGGAGACACUGGGGUCUGGACAUUCUCAUGGGUCUACCCCCCAGACAUCCAGACAGGGCUCCAAAUCCCAAAGCUACAAAGGUCAAGGCUCUGCUGCCUGGUUUCUCACCUCAUUGUCCUCUGAUUUCAGUAAUGUGUUUAUGCAGCUCAAAUUCAGAGCAUUGCAAGGAUCCCCAAAGCGAAGGCUCCCUCCAGCCGCCUCCCCGACAGGGUAGCCCUCUCUCAAACCCCUGGAGAGACAUUUUAUGUGCGUACAGGCAAGUAUGGAUCACACCCCUUCUUUCACCCAACAUUUUUUUCCCCCACAAAUGGUAACAUAUUCUACGCUAGUUGGCACUUUGCUCAAAAAGUUAAAAGUCUGUCUCAGGACCUGAAGGGUCUCCAGUAUUCCCUUAUUGGGAGGGGCCAUGGUUACCUUGGUUACUUUGCAGCCCUGCUCUUAGCCCUGCACUGUUAUUGAUGUCUGUGUGUGUGGCGUUCUAUCUGGAGAAAAGGUCCCUAGAAGUAGGAUUGGUUGGUCAAAAUCAAUGCUGAUUUACUACGUCCUUCCUAGAGGGGGCUCCUGGGCACCUUGGCAUCUGGUGGGGAGGUGCUUUUCUCCCAAGCCUGAAGGCUUUAAUUCAUCUUUCUCUUCUUAGGAGGUGGAGCAUCUUUUCCUCUGGUUAACAGCCACUCCCUUUUCCUUUUCUGGAAACGAAGUCACACCCUCAAGCCCAUUUCCCCACUGGACUGUUUUUCUUAUAAAGUUUUUCGUAUAUCAGAGAAUUUAACCUUUUGCCAUGAGUUGCAGAUAUUUCCCCCAGUUUAUCAUCUGGCCUUUGACUGCAGGUGGGCUCUCGGGACACUGAUCCAACUCUUCUUCAGAGUGUGUGUCCCCAGGCUCCCCCACUGUACAGUUAUCAAAUUUAUUGUCCAAGCCUCCCACCUUUCCCCACCCCAUCUGUCUCAUCAUCCAUCUGAGCCCACUGAUGAAACACCACUCUGAUUCCAAAUUAAGUUCCCUUCUGUACUUGGGUCUACUUCUGAGCUCUUGACUCCAAUGCCAAGAGGUUCCCCAGAUUGUAACAUGGAGCUUCCCGGCACUUGGGAAGACGAAGGCAGGGGGCUUGCCCCCUGGCGCCCCCUCCAGCUGCUCCCCCACGGGCCUCAGUUUCCCCCGCGCCUGCCUCCCCACUUGCCACAUGUCCACCCUUCUGGUCCUGCUCGCCUGAUGGGACCUUGCCUGUUGUGUCCACAGGCAGCUUGCACGCACCCCAGGACCUCAGACGUCCCGAGUACGUCUGAGGAUGACGUGCCCCCUUGCCACCUCGAUGCUACCAGCGGUCAACAAAGUUGUCACGUUAGCUUAUGACUCAGGAUUUCCUGUUGGCACCAGACCUCUCCUCCCUGAGAAGCUUCUUCCAUCGCCACAAGCUCUCUGUGCGAUGCCCACCUCAACUCAACCAUGGCAUGAAUUGCAAGGUGUCUUGAACCUUCCUGAAGAUAAAACUGGCCAGUCAAAAAAGCAAUGUGACGGCAGGACCCUUCCACGCAUGGAAAAUCGGGUGGACUCUCAGAACUUGCUAGUAUUUCUCCAGGAGAAAACCAGACUUUUCGGGAAGUGAGUUGCCCCUUUUGCUUUCUGAUAAUUCAGAGGAUAAUAUUCUUGAUUAUGAAGCAGCCCACUUCCUUCUUGUUCAAAGAAAAGCAAAAAGACCCUUU
rnacentral:lncRNA from 1 species